ACAGCCCUAAUUAAAACUAUUUACAAUUAUUUUGAUUAAUUCAAAGAAACCUUAACUAAAAUGAAACUAUUAGAUAUGAAAUAAAAAUUAAAAAUGUUGCUUUAACUGAAAUGAACUAAAAUAAACUGAAACUGAAGUAAUGCAACUACUAAAAUAGAAACUGAAAUAAAUAUAAAUUAAAGGUGCAAUGUGUAAAUUUUAGGAGGAUCUAUUGACAGAAAUGCAAUAUAAUUUACAUAACUAUGAUUUCAGUUCACCUUACAUAAUGAACCGUUAUGUUUUUAUUACCUUAUAAUGAGCCAUUUCUAUCUACAUACACCGCGGGUCCCCUUACAUGUUAAGUCGCCAUUUUGCGCUGCCAUGUUUCUACAGCAGCCCUAGGGGCCGUUCACAUAUCGCGUCUUUUGCGCGCGAAAGUUAGUUAUUUCAAAUGUAGCGCACUCAAAAUGGAAGUGGUCGCAACGCGCAUGCUCGUUUUUUUCCAGGCGCGCCUAUGCCGCGACGAGAUGAAAACAUCUCAACUUUUCAGAAUGCCGCAAGCACACCUGCAGGUCAUGUGACAAGAACCAACCAAUUAGCUUCGGCCGUUCCAUAACAACAUCGACAGCUCAGCCGAACAGCUGAUCAUAGCUGUACAGGGCGGGUUUUUAUUUCUCAUCUCCAUAAAUAUAUCUAGUAGUAAAGCUAAAGUAAGGGCUAGAAAUCAAUUAAUCCUUUGCUGAUACUUCCUCGUCAUCGUGGAGAGUGCAGGUCAUGGUUGCAUAACAACAACAGACGCCACGGGAGCGCAAGCGCUUGUGGAAAGGAGGAGAAAGCGUUCCACACGUUUUUAGACGCGAUAUGUGAACGGCCUCCUAAAUAGACAAACAUCUCUACAAAGCGCGUUUGCUUGACUGGCUACUCUCUGCUGUCUCAGACGAAGACAUCUUUGUCCUGUGUUGGCCACCGUAGCUUCUCUAUAUUGCAAUUCGCAACCUCACCACUAGAUGCCGUUAAAAUUUACACACUGCACCUUUAAAGCUAAAUAGAAAUGUUAAAAAAAACAUAACAAAAUGACAAACUAAAUUUCACAUGAAAACUGAAAAUAUAAAAAUAAAAGCUAAUUCAAAUUAUUAAUAAAUAUAAUAGUAUAUAAAUUAAACUAAUAUUGCACUGAUAUGAAACUAACAUGAAUACAAAUUUUUAUUAUCGGCCUAAAGAAUGAACCACUAGCAGAGCAGCGCAUUAUAUACUGAGCUUCUCAGUGCAUCUCUUUCCGACAGACAACAUUUGGAUAAUAAUGGUUAAAUCUGACAUAAUUAUUUCGUCUUAGGCACAGACCUCUAGUCACGGCUAUAAGAAGAUGCAGCGAUGAGCUAAUUUACAGAAUUGUCAGAGGGCCUAUCAUGGCUUCUUAUUAGGCUGCAUUGCAAAUCCUAAGCUAAAUGAUCUGUGUCCGGCCUUCCAAGGGAGAAAACAGCAUUCUGCAGCACAACUUCCGCCAGCGCAAAUGAGAUGCAAGAUUUGAAGAGAAAUCCUCUCCCCCAUACAGAUAUAAAAGCAAGGACAUGCACACAGCCGCCUCCCGAUCCAAACAUUGACUCAUCAACACACGCCACCUGUGAAAACACCAAGCUAUUUUCACAAGAAUAAAGAGAUGCACCAACUUGCACGUUUAACUGUAAUGCGCCACACUUAAUUCCAGCACAGUUGUGUGCAUCCUAAACCUACAAUUUAUCACAUAAAUGCCAGAUAAACCUAAUCACUAUGCUAACAUUUGCAGCUCCAAUUGUGCCAAACACAGAAGCGUUAAUUAAUCUAAUGUUCUUGCGGCAGACGCACACAGUCGCACAUGCAGUCACGCUGUGGGAGUGAUUUGUAAGGCACCAUGUGGGGCUCUAAUCUGCGGGUUGCAGCGGGAUCUUUACAGCCUGCUCACGGGCCCGAGUGGCAGAAAUUAGGCCCAAAUUCAAUCAGUCGUCCAGGCAGUCCUGGGCUUUUUCUGCAGGCCUCGAGGCGCCUUGGGACACGAGCUCCAUCUGCACUAGGGGUAAGGAAAGCUCGCGCUCAUAGCGCUGGGGAGUUAUGAGUAUUGCAGGCCGCCAUCUUCCGCACAUUAGUGUCACGGCUAAACUAAAUAAGGACUCGGGUUUGAGUGUUUAGCUGAGGAGUAAUUUAAUUUAGGGAACAACGUGGUGUUGUAAAUCACAAGGAUGAGACGGUGCACUGCAUCUGGAAAAGCGCAUUUAUCUCAAGGCAAUACCAGAACAUUGAGUUAAAAAGAAAUCACACACUGAGAUUAUAUUUCUGCAGACAGCGUUCGUAUCUCUGUCGUAUUUGGAAGCCGGAGCCCAAAGAAAUAAUGCCGAGCCAAACAGCUCCUAUUUUUCGAGUAAGUUAACUUUCAUACGGUCAUUGUUGAGGGAUUUUUGCAGCGGCGUCGAGCGCUGAAAGCACUGUAUUGCCCGAUUGCAUCAACUAAUCCGCCAACCUAUUUGCCGAGGAAUAUACAGAGCAAGACACUGGAGAACUUAUACGCGUCUGACUCGGUCGUCUGUGAAAUUGAUAAGCUACGAGAGAUCGACCGAACUGUGCCGAGCCACAAACAUGCAUAAAACACUGUGGAACACAGAAGAGCAUAGCAGGAGCCAUAUGCACCGCACUCAGGUAAAUUGUCUGCAUAUCUCAAAUAUAAUUCAUCAUCCGCAGCUGCAGUCCUGGCAUAUUCAUUUUUCUCUCUCCCUCUCUGCAAGCUGAAGGAUUGUGGGCGAUGUGAUAGGGUGCAUAGGUUGUCCCUCGAGGCCAAACUGACAUGAUUGGAGCAUCCCAUUAAAACCAGAAUGAAAAGUCCUCACAAUGGGAGAAACUCUUGGGAGCAAAAUCGGCCCUGGAGACCGCAUGAAUCCCAGGGUUUUCAUCAGCAGAUGCUGAAUGCUGCGUACAUUUGACUUCACAGCAAAGCUGUCAUUUAUCACCACUCUAAGCGAAAUACUGUAAUAUGUUUGAAGGUUUAGGAAUAUUAUUCAGUUUUACAGCCCAUCGUGAAAGUGGGUUUUUAUUUCCCUCACAGAUGAAUCCGUCUGCCCAAUUGCUGUUCCUGGUAAUACACAAUAAACAAUAUCAAAAUGCAUUUUUGCAAGAACAGGACGGGCAAGAAUUGAUCACACUCUUCCAUUACUGGAGCAAACAGUGGGCAAGAGGGAGAGGAGGAGAGAUGAAAGAACAUCAAUGCGAAGAAAAUGUGCAAAGCCACAGAGAAGCACUGCCCGGCAUAAUGACUCAGCUACCGCGCAGGGACCAACAACUUUCUAAAGCAUCUCAGACAUUAAGCAGAGAGACGGGUUGCUCCUUGCCCAGUACUCUGGCUGUGGGCGCUGCCUGAUGCAAUUAAAACGAGCCCACAGCGCCUGUGCGCAGACGCAGUGAGGUGCCUCGUACUACUGAAGUAUCACAUCAGUGUUGUAAGGCCGACCGGGCCCUAAUCUACACUUUUUCAACAGCCGGCACACCAUGCAUAAUUAACACACAUUACUAAUUCAAACCUAAAGUGGUUCCCAUGUAAUCUACUGCAGUUCACUUUAAUUAAACACAUGUACUCUUGAACGA